CUUUAAAAUAUCAACAGCCGACUUGUAAUUCGCCGCAAUCAACGAAAAUUCGUUGAUUGCGGCGAAUUACAAGUCGGCUGUUGAUAUUUUAAAG